rnacentral:rRNA from 1 species
CUCCAGACUCCUACGGGAGGCAGCAGUGGGGAAUAUUGCACAAUGGGGGAAACCCUGAUGCAGCAACGCCGCGUGAGUGAAGAAGUAUUUCGGUAUGUAAAGCUCUAUCAGCAGGGAAGAAAAUGACGGUACCUGAGUAAGAAGCCCCGGCUAACUACGUGCCAGCAGCCGCGGUAAUACGUAGGGGGCAAGCGUUAUCCGGAUUUACUGGGUGUAAAGGGAGCGUAGACGGCGAUACAAGUCUGAAGUGAAAGCCCGGGGCUCAACCCCGGGACUGCUUUGGAAACUGUGUUGCUGGAGUGCUGGAGAGGCAAGCGGAAUUCCUAGUGUAGCGGUGAAAUGCGUAGAUAUUAGGAGGAGCACCAGUGGCGAAGGCGGCUUACUGGACUGUAACUGACGUUGAGGCUCGAAAGCGUGGGGAGCAAACAGGAUUAGAUACCCGAGUAAG